UACAGGGGGUGCAAACGUUGCUCGGAAUCAUUGGGCGUAAAGAGCUCGUAGGCGGCUUGUCGCGUCGUGUGUGAAAAUCUCAGGGCUCAACUCUGACAUUGCAUACGAUACGGGCAGGCUUGAGUUCGGUAGGGGGAGACUGGAAUUCCUGGUGUAGCGGUGAAAAUGCGCAGAUAUCAGGAGGAACACCGGUGGCGAAGGCGGGUCUCUGGGCCGAUACUGACGCUGAGGAGCGAAAAGCGUGGGGGAGCGAACAGG
rnacentral:rRNA from 1 species